UCCUAUAUUUUUUUUAACUUGAAAUAAAUGAUAGAGUAUAUUGAUGCAAUACAAAUUCAAAGUUGCUAAAAAAAAGAAGGAUAAAUUUGCGAACAAACUCACAGCAUCCAUGUUAAUAGCAUAGAUCAACAAAUUGCAAAAGCCUACAAAUUUAAAUAUGACCAUAUUGAAGAAGUGUCCGGAAUAUCCAUGCCUCAGGAUCUGUAGCGUUAAUGACUCCAAAGUCGACAUUAAUUGAAUUUGCACUAGAUCGAAACUAAUCCUUCAAUCUGAAAUAAAUAAACACGAUACAAAGUCAAGAAAUCAAAACAAAUAAAUAUGUGAAAAUCACACUUAUUUAUUAUAACGAGAAGGAAAAAAUAAUUUGGAGGGUGAUUCCAUGCCAAAAUUGAACUUAAAUCUCCCCUCUAUGAUAGACUAAGAAGAAGGAG
rnacentral:lncRNA from 1 species